GGGCGUGUAGCUCAGCUGGUUAGAGCGUUACAUUGACAUUGUAAAGGUCAGAGGUUCGAGUCCUCUCACGCCCACCA
rnacentral:tRNA from 1 species